UUUUCUCUCUGUUUGAUGUUUCAUUCAUUGAUUCAUCAAUAAAAUUAUGUAUGUCAAUUAAAACAUGAUAUGGAUGACUCAUAACUUUCCAUAUGUGAUUUUUAAAUGACAUGACAAAAUUCUAUUGGUGGGAUAAAGAAGAGAUUAGACCCAAACGGCCGAAGA
rnacentral:pre_miRNA from 1 species